rnacentral:rRNA from 1 species
UACGGGGGGGGCAAGCGUUGUUCGGAAUUACUGGGCGUAAAGGGCUCGUAGGCGGCCAACUAAGUCAGACGUGAAAUCCCCAGGCUCAACCUGGGAACUGCGUCUGAUACUGGAUGGCUUGAAUCCGGGAGAGGGAUGCAGAAUUCCAGGUGUAGCGGUGAAAUGCGUAGAUAUCUGGAGGAAUACCGGUGGCGAAGGCGGCAUCCUGGACCGGCAUUGACGCUGAUGAGCGAAAGCCAGGGGAGCAAACGGG